GUUAAGCCACUUCUGAUAAGUAUCUCGGACCGUCCCUCUAACGUUCAGGGCUGGCUCCUCAAGUGCCGGAUCUGUUACUACAUAAAGGAUCCGCUCAUGCUCAAGGAUGAUUUUUAAUUUUCGAUACCAGCUAUCGAAAUUAGGUCCCAUGAGCUUGUCAUUAUCUAAUAAUGACCGGAGGGAUAGGGUAGUGGCCAUAGCUGC
rnacentral:lncRNA from 1 species